CCCUAAAGUCGAAGUCUGACGGAGCACGCCGCGUGAGUGAUGAAGGCUUUCGGGUCGUAAAACUCUGUUGUUAGGGAAGAACAAGUACGAGAGUAACUGCUCGUACCUUGACGGUACCUAACCAGAAAGCCACGGCUAACUACGUGCCAGCAGCCGCGGUAAUACGUAGGUGGCAAGCGUUAUCCGGAAUUAUUGGGCGUAAAGCGCGCGCAGGCGGUUUCUUAAGUCUGAUGUGAAAGCCCACGGCUCAACCGUGGAGGGUCAUUGGAAACUGGGGAACUUGAGUGCAGAAGAGAAAAGCGGAAUUCCACGUGUAGCGGUGAAAUGCGUAGAGAUGUGGAGGAACACCAGUGGCGAAGGCGGCUUUUUGGUCUGUAACUGACGCUGAGGCGCGAAAGCGUGGGGAGCAAACAGGAUUAGAUACCCUGGUAGUCCACGCCGUAAACGAUGAGUGCUAAGUGUUAGAGGGUUUCCGCCCUUUAGUGCUGCAGCUAACGCAUUAAGCACUC
rnacentral:rRNA from 2 species